rnacentral:rRNA from 1 species
ACAAGGUUUCCGUAGGUGAACCCGCGGAAGGAUCAUUG